GUAGGGAAUAUUGGGCAAUGGUCGGAAGACUGACCCAGCCAUGCCGCGUGCAGGAAGACGGCCCUCUGGGUUGUAAACUGCUUUUAUCUGGGAAGAAAAAGGCCAUGCGUGGCAAAUUGACGGUACCAGAUGAAUAAGCACCGGCUAACUCCGUGCCAGCAGCCGCGGUAAUACGGAGGGUGCAAGCGUUGUCCGGAUUUAUUGGGUUUAAAGGGUGCGUAGGCGGCUGAUUAAGUCAGCGGUGAAAGACUCCGGCUUAACCGGAGCAGUGCCGUUGAUACUGGUUAGCUUGAGUGUUGGAGAGGUACAUGGAAGUGAUGGUGUAGCGGUGAAAUGCAUAGAUACCAUCAGUAACACCGAUAGCGAAGGCAUUGUACUGGCCAACAACUGACGCUGAUGCACGAAAGUGUGGGGAUCGAACAGGAUUAGAAACCCCUGUAGUCC
rnacentral:rRNA from 1 species